GCGUCUCAUUACCGCUCAGCAGCAGAUUGUCAUUUGACUGACAGGUACUGAUUAAUGUAGAAGCAAGCGAAAUUAUCUCGAGAUGAAAGAAAAAUCGGUUUUAUCUUUACAAGAAAACCCGUUUAAAAUGCGUUCGGAUGAAGAUAAAAAACGGCUCAAUGAGUUUGGACCAGAUCGACUCAACUUGCAAAUUCAGCUGCAGUCAAGUGAUCGCGGUCGAUGUUACACUCGGUGUAAGCUGGAUGCGAUGUAAGUGAAGCCUUUUAUUGAUUUUCCCUGUUUGCUGUUUCUAAGUCCAGGCACCGAGAAAACAACAGGGGUUUUCGAUUAAAACAUCUCUCUGAUAAGUGCAAGCGGCAUGAAAGUAUCCGCCGCAGCCAUCUUGACAACGCUGUGAGGCUCCACAUAUGAAAGAUUGCGGUAGGAGCGCGGGACGACACAUUUCAAAUAAAAUCGAGCUCGCACUCUUUCAUUUGUAAGUGUUUUAACGGUUGCAUAGUAACCAUCUCAGAUUGGCCCUCAAACUAUAUCAGGACUUUAUGAUGUGGAUUUUUUUAAUAAAAGUCCCCUCAAUAUCCUAUAUGUACUGUUUUUUUCUCUAUGUUCAGAUAAAAAUAAACUACCUGUUUCUUAAAAGUGAUUUCACCUCCGAAUCAUUGUACACCAUCUCAGAUUGGCACUCAAAUAGUAUCAGGACUUUAUGAUGUGGAUUUUUUUAAUAAAAGUCCCCUCAAUAUCCUAUAUAUACUGUUUUUUUUCUCUAUGUUCAGGUAGGGAUUUAAAAUAAACUACCUGUUUCUUAAAAGUGAUUUCACCUCAGAAUCAUAGUACACCAUCUCAGAUUGGCACUCAAACAACAUCAGAAUAUGUUUUUAAAUAACCCCCUCUCUUCUUGUUGCUCAUUAAAACAUUCAGACAGUUUAAUGACAAUUGUAUUGGUUUCAAAGACAUUCAAAAGAGCAUAGCCUGCAAUUCCAGCUCUGUGCUCUUGCUCAUUUCAAUUCUUUUUUCUUAAAUCCCAGACACUGUUCAUGGAACCACCUGUCACAACAGUCACAUUGAAUCUAGAGUGAAAGGUAAAAUUUCAAUGAAAUAAAUAUCUUCAGAUUACAAGUUAAUUUAUUUAAUUUUAUUAAUUUAUCCUUCAAAUUCCACCAAAUGUUAUUGAUUCACCCUAAUUGUAUUUGAAAACUAAACACUAAAGACAUGUUUUGUCUUUGUACAGUCCAUUGUAUUAUUUUAAUAGCAAAUGUUCUUCAAAAUAUCUGUUUUUUUGGUUCUGCAGAAGAAAAGCAAGUCAAAGGUUUGAAUGACAUAGUAAGUCAAUUAUAAAAAUACCUCUAAUUUUGAGUGAACUACCGAUUAAGAUUUCUUUUGUAUUGUGUACUUUUACUUUAACACUAGGUAUACUUUGUCAAGAGUCCAAUAAUUUCCGUUAAUCUCAAUCUCUCCUAAUCUCUGUAAUUGAUUUUUGCUUCUCAUGGCAUAAUUUAUAUCUCCAGCCAUGAGUUAAUGCAAACAUCUGGAUUAAUCAUUGCAGCUGUCAAACUACUCUCCCAUUGUUCAACACUCCCAUUUACCUUCUCCCCUGCCUCAUAGAUAACUUGCUGUGUAAUUUAUUUUACAACUACCUUUUGUUUAGAAAAAGCCAUCUUUACCACUGUAAUUGUGUUUGUGAUGCCUGUUGUUCAUAUAUUUGCUAUUUCUGUGACCUUCACAGAAUGCAUAAAGGCUUCUUGAUUUUGUCCAGGUAAAGGCAUGCAUUGCCCUAUAAUUACAUUUUCGAUUUUUAUUCAAUACUAUUGCUUUUGGUUCAAUAAUAAAAACAAGAUAUUGCACUCUGACACAUAAUAAUGAUUAUAAACCACCUUUGUGCCAGAAGCUGUCUGUAACUUAUAUGUGAAUUAAAUUUUCCAGACAAGCUUCAGUGCUGAUAGAGAUAUUACACUAACCAAUGUGUAGAAGAAUUUAGCCAAAAAGGUCAAAAUAAAUUGUAUUGUUAAUUAUUACUCUAUCAGAUUUCCUGAGUUGUAUUUACUGUUUUUUAAUGUUUAAUUGCCUUUGCUAUAACCUGGACAUAUUGAUUAGCCCAGCCCACAACUUAUUGUGUUGUCUGGUAUGUAAUUUGCUCUAAAUUUUGACAUUCUUUAAAUUUUUCUUAUUUAAAUUAAUACUAGACAGCAAGGUGAUCAUAAUGAAUAGUUGUUUUGUAUGAAGAUUAGUUAAAAAUGAUUUUCUUCAACAAUCAAGUUUUGUUAAAACUACUUUAGGAUACACUCUUUAAAAAACAGGUGCUUCAAAAGGUAAUUAAAUGUCAUAGAAAGAUUUUUGUGGAACCAAAAGGUUAUUCUGUUUCGCAAAAGGUUCUUUUGUGGCGAAACUAGGUUCCUCAGAUUAUAAAAAGUAAGAAACAGAUUGUUCUUGAAGAACCUUUAACUGAAUGGUUCUUUGGGGAACAACACAUGGUUCUUCUGUUGUAUCGCUGUGAACAACCUUUAAAGCACUUUUUUUUUAUGAGUGUAUUGCUGACAAAGCUACAUUUGGUUAUCAUUGCACCAUAGCACAUACAAUCACUUCCUUAAUAAACCUGAUGAUUCCAGUGUCUGGGCAGCCAUUACUCCUCUUUCAAUUGCCAUUUCUUUUUUUGAAGUCCUAAAGCUUAUAACUGAGACAGCUGGAAAGGCCUUCAUCACUUCCGUUGCAAUCUAAACAAGCACCAACAUUCAAUUCAUUAGAUACAGCUGUGGAAAAAACUAAGAGACAAUUCCAAAUGGUCAUUUGUAUAAUGUCGAAAAAAUCCACAGGCAAAACAAAGUUAAGAAAAAAAAAUACACGUAAUGUAGAGACAACAUCUAUUAGCAAACCAACUUAAAAUUAAAUUAUAUUUCACAUAUUACUCUGCAUUACUUCACAUACCAUGGUGACAGUGACGCCACAGCUACUGCCAUCCUGUUGGGUUGGAUGGGUCAGCUCUCCUCCUUUCCAUUUUAUGUUCUGCCACUCUGUUUUCCCAUGGUACUCUCUUCUUAUUGUAAGGUACCUGCUGAAUGUGAUUUGUUAUGUUAGUUAUUGAAAUUGAUAUAAAGAUCACAGGAAAAAAUAGGUACAUUUGAUACAAAUUAUAAAAUAUCGAGGCGUAAAGAGUGAAUAAUAAGCAGACAAAAUUUCACAUCCUAUUUAAGAUUAAACAUAAAAAGUAAUAUAAUAAUAAUAUGAUUUUAGUGGAUAAUUAAUUUCCCCCAAAAUAUGUGUUCGCUGCAAAAUCGUGGACAGACAAUAUUUCAUAGCUUGUAUAACUGUUUGAUAUUUGUCAAUAUCAGUUUCAUUAAAUAUGCUAAAUUAUAUAAAAAAUAUUCUGGAUCAGCAUUAAAGCAUCUGAAGAGGUGUAGAGAAUGGUACAUCAAGUAUGCACAGUCCUGACACAUUUUGACUGUCAAUACUUCUGUUAAACAAAACUGAUAAAUUAACAAAUACCUGAAGUUUUUUGCAGAACACCUGGAUUCAGCUUUCUCUUUGGAACUCUUUGAUGGGUUGACCACAUAAACGGUAUGGUUCAAAGCAUUUAUGAACUGAAAUCAAACAUUGAAACAUAAUAAAAAUCAUUUUAUUUGAUACAAAAAAAAUGUUCUUAAAUAUAUGCAGUUAAUAUAAAAAAGAAUCAUCUACUCACCAGAAACUUCCAGUGGACAUGGGAAGUAUUAACAUCAGAAAUUCCUGAUAUUGUUUGAGUACCAAUCUGAGAUGGUGUAUUACUAGAUGAAAUCCCUUUCAAGAAACAGGUAGUUUAUUCUUGUUUUUUAUCUGAACAUAGAGAAAAAACAGUCUAUAUAGGAUAUUGAGGGGAGUUUGAUUAAAAAAACGCCUAGCAACCACCCAGAACGCCACACAAACUUCGAAAACCGUGCAGAACGAGCUGUUGGACUGUAUGUUGGCUGUUAUAUGGGAACACAUAAUCCAAGAAGCACAAAGCAGCGAUUUUCUAUCAAUCCAGGCCGACGAGACCACAGAUGUUGCCACAGUACAUAUCGCAACGUACAGGAGAGGUUUUUUGCUUUUAUUCAUCUGCAUUCAACUACAGCUGAUUCCGUCGCUACAGGACUCAAAGAGCAUCUUGCUGUCAUCCUUCCGGAGUAUCAGACGAGUAAACUCAUCUCCCAAGCGUAUGAUGGAGCCAGCGUGAUGAGGGGUGCCAAUGCAGGUGUUCAAAGGAAGAUUCAAGAUGUGUACCCAAAUGUCCAUUACAUCCACUGCUAUUCGAAUCAACUCAAUUUAAUAAUGCAAAAGGCCACUUCUCACAUACCCAAAGUUAGAUUUUUUUUUUCUGACCUUGGGUGAUCUGGAAAAAAGGCUGGCAAAUCCUCCAAGCGCACAAAUGUACUUGAUAAAGUUGUUGCCCAUAGACUACCAGCAUCGAGCAGUGUUAGAUGGAACCUUCACAGCUGUGCCAUCAAUACAGUGUUUGAGCACAGAGAGGGCCUCAUUCGCUGUUUUGAAACUAUUUGAGACUCGGGUAACUUUGACCCUGUUUCCACCAGAGAGGCAGGAGGCUUUGCCAUGCUGCUGGAUGAUCAGGAUUUAAAAAAUAUCUGCACCGUUUCCACAUCAUCAUGCCACAUGUGGACAUCUCUAUGCCAAACUCCAGCAGAAGGUUAUAGAUUCAGUUCACAUUAAGGGGAGCAUCCAGCAGUUCCAGCAGGACAUACAGAAGAUCAGUGAAGGAGCUUCUCAACCGAAGAGGCGGCGGUCGACCAGUCCAGAAGUCCAUGAACGGAUUGCAUCAGAAGUUUGUGGCACCAUACUCCAACACACCAUGGAACGGUUCUGCUUCACAAGCCACCUCAUCAGUGCCACCUUGCUGCAAGCAGACAGGUUUGAACCGUACACCGUGGCGUUUCCUGAAGAUGCACUGAGUAGGACUUUGAAGGCCUAUCCAGUGUUCAAUGGGAGUAAGCUCAAGACAGAGCUUAGUCUCAUCCACGGCAAGGAAGAUUUCAGAACCUGUUGUCGUGCUGUGGACCUACUCCAGCUGCUUAAGGAGAACAAUCUUGAAGAAGUCUUUUCAGAGACUGUCACUCUCCUAAAGAUCCUCAUCACCACACCCAUGACCACAGCAGAGUCUGAGAGUUGUUUGAAAAGACUUAAGACUUUUCUUAGAAAUAGCAUGACCCAGGAGAGGCUAAAUGCAUUGGCCAUGCUGUCAAUGGAGAGGAGAGUGGUGACUGAGAUAAUUGACUUUAACCAGAAGGUCAUUGAGAAAUGUGCAAGUCUGAAAGAAAGGAGAGCAAAAUCUCUUUCCAAAUCGUGUUACUGCUAUAAUGAUUAGGUAAAAGUUUUUUUUAAUGAUUACCUUGAUUACUUCAUUACUGAUAAU